GCAGUAGAGUAAAACACCACCAUUCAUCACAGAACUGGACAGCCAGGAAAGGGCAGAGCUGCUGCGGUGGAUCGAUGCCACACAGCCACCGAGCCCAGACGUCCCCAGCAGCACAAAAACGUCACCAUUCAUCUCAGCGCUCCCUGACUUUCCCUGGGCCAGCAGGGAGCAAAACGGAGAGGCAGAGACUGAGGCCUGGAUCAGCAGCGACCUGUUCUGCACGCAUCCAUCGUGCUCCAGGCAGCUCCCCAGGCCGCUGCCCUGCAAGCCUUUCCUGCUGCCCCGCAGCACAUCACCAGAGCUGCCUGUGCCGACCCCCCUGGAUGUCCCAGCACCUUCCUCUCCCCGCACAGCACAUCUGAUGGAGGAGGCACAGCAGAAGCAGCCCCGGGUGGUUCUCACCCGCCUGGCACUGCCACCCGGCUGCACCUCCUGCUCCGUGCCGGACAACCACAGCAGGGAUGGCACCGAGCCGGCUGAGUGCCAAGCACCCACCUGCACCACCAGUGGGCACCAGCAGUGCACUGGCAGAAUCCAAGCCAGGAAGAGGAAGCUGCCACAUGGCCAGGACGCUCCAAGACAGAAACGGCCUCUGCCCGUCUCAUACUCCUCCUCCUGAUGGCUACAAGUUGCUGGAAGGACGGUGCUGCUCCACGGUGAGCACCAGGAGCAGACAUUGGUUGUUUUCCUGUGAUUGCCUGGUCGGAUUUGGCUUUUGUUCCUGAGGUGGAACUCGGAGGUGCAUGUGGUGAAGAAUCCACUAAGGGCAUCUACGUUAAGGACGUCCCCAUGUUCUGCCUGAAAGGUGCCAUUGUGUGUUUGUUCCUCUUCUGCUGCUAAUAAUUGUGUGCUGCAUUUGCAUCCGGCGGCAGAGGCAGAAACAACAGUGCCUCAUGGAAUCCACCACGGCCCAGUCUGCUGCCCGUGAACGCUCAGCAUAUGAGGACAGACAGACAGCCUGACAGACAGCCAAGGGGACAGACGGUCUUGGCACCAGCAGGCUCCACGUGUGCCAGGACGUCCUGCCUGGGUGCUGCGGAGCUCCAGCACAUCGCCGCCCUCCAGGCCCAAGCGUGCUCCGGCUCGGCUGCCCCCAGCAUGGCCCCCACGCCCCCCAGCCCGACCAUGUACACCAGGAAUAAGCCCAGAAGCCCCCAGCUGCGCUGGGCAUCGCCACCACCACUGCCACCACCGCCAUCCUACAGGGGAUGGUAGCACUCUCCCUGGGGCCGGGCACCACGUCCCAGGCCUGGACAACUGCUGCUGCCAUCAACUGUGGCUGUCCAUGUUUCUAUUACAACAAUUCACCAAUAAAUAACAGCAUUAUUUCCUAA